AUAUCAAUAAGCGGAGGAAAAGAAACCAACAGGGAUUGCCUUAGUAACGGCGAGUGAAGCGGCAAAAGCUCAAAUUUGAAAUCUGGCACCUUCGGUGUCCGAGUUGUAAUUUGAAGAAGGUAACUUUGGAGUCAGCUCUUGUCUAUGUUCCUUGGAACAGGACGUCACAGAGGGUGAGAAUCCCGUGCGAUGAGAUGUCUGAUUCUAUGUAAAGUGCUUUCGAAGAGUCGAGUUGUUUGGGAAUGCAGCUCUAAGUGGGUGGUAAAUUCCAUCUAAAGCUAAAUAUUGGCGAGAGACCGAUAGCGAACAAGUACAGUGAUGGAAAGAUGAAAAGAACUUUGAAAAGAGAGUGAAAAAGUACGUGAAAUUGUUGAAAGGGAAGGGUUUGAGAUCAGACUUGGUAUUUUGUAUGUCUUGCUUUCGGGUGGGGCCUCUACAGUUUACUGGGCCAGCAUCGGUUUGGACGGUAGGAUAAUGACAUUGGAAUGUGGCACCACUUCGGUGGUGUGUUAUAGACUUUGUUGAUACUGCCUGUCUAGACCGAGGACUGCGUCUUUGACUAGGAUGCUGGCAUAAU
rnacentral:rRNA from 1 species